UACAGAGGGUGCGAGCGUUAAUCGGAAUUACUGGGCGUAAAGAGCGCGCAGGCGGUCGUUCAAGUCGCGUGUGAAAGCCCCCGGCUCAACUGGGGAGGGUCACGCGAUACUGAUCGACUCGAAGGCAGGAGAGGGAAGUGGAAUUCCCGGUGUAGUGGUGAAAUGCGUAGAUAUCGGGAGGAACACCAGUGGCGAAGGCGACUUCCUGGCCUGUUCUUGACGCUGAGGCGCGAAAGCUAGGGGAGCAAACGGG
rnacentral:rRNA from 1 species